rnacentral:tRNA from 1 species
GCGUUCGUGGUGUAGUGGUCAUCGUGCUCGACGCAUAAUUGAGAUGUCCGUGGUUCGAGUCCCGGCGAGGGCG